rnacentral:rRNA from 1 species
AUACGUAGGGGGCGGAGCGUUGUCCGGAUUUACUGGGCGUAAAGGGUGAGUAGGCGGUUAUGUGUGUCAGGUGUAAAAGGACGUAGGCUUAACUUACGUUAGCACUUGAAACUGCAUGACUUGAGUGCAGGAGAGGUAAGUGGAAUUCCUAGUGUAGCGGUGAAAUGCGUAGAUAUUAGGAGGAACACCAGUGGCGAAGGCGACUUACUGGACUGUAACUGACGCUGAGUCACGAAAGCGUGGGUAGC